rnacentral:lncRNA from 1 species
CGCGCGCCGGUGACGCCAGCCAGGAGGAGCCCGCGAGGCGCGGGGAGGGGCUCCCCCCCAGCGCCGUAGGGACUCGCGCACCUGAGCGGGGGGAGGGGAUCCCCCCUUUUGGGCAAAGGGCCCCGCGUCCAGUGCGGAGCGAGUGACGUCAGAGCCCCCCCGGCACCCCAUGUCGGUCGCCGGGCGGGGAAGCGGGAACUGAGGCUCGAGCCACGGAGCAGCGGCGGCCCAGGCCCGGGGACGGGGCUAGUGUCCGAGGGCUUCGCCCCCGCUCUCAGAGCCACAGCGGGGAAGUGCGACCCCCGCCCCAGAGGCACUUGAGGCCGGGCCAGCCCUGUCCCAGUGCAGCACCACUGCCACCUAACACCGGCUUUUAAACUGAGUCCUGGCUGGAGGAGUCUCCUGCCCCUUACUGCCUGGUGCUUGUUGCCCCUUCAGCUUUAUUUUGCUGGAAGCCUCCUCUCCUAGGAAUAACGCGGGCUCCUGCUUCUCUUCCUGCUCUAGAAGCCAAUUCCCUGCUGCCCUCCAGGGCCUCACUGCUGUCGCUGACGCUGAUCACAGGUCCAUCACCAAACUCCCUCAGCCAGUGCUUGGCACCGCUCUGCGGCAUCGUGGAGUCACUGGACCGCCCUGCCUGCAGGCUCAGGACCACAGUUCGGCGUCAGUUCAUGUCUGGAAGGUUAACUUCAGAGACUGAAAAUUGCAGAAUUCCAAUGAAAACCUGCCAUAUAUUUCACGGUUAAUAAGAGAGUUCUGGUCUCCACAGAUAAAAAUUUGGAUGAGAAGCCUUCUUGUGCCAAAACCUGAUAGCUCUGUAACACUCUGUAAACAUCAGUAAUUUUCCAUGAAGCGUAAAACUGUUCCUGAUCAUUCUGACAGCUUUUGCAACAUCUCAAAAUGUGCUCAUAACCUUGCUGCUGAAACAUGGAUUACAGGCCAGUAGAGCAAUGAGAUCAAAGCCUCAAGAGAAUUCAAGUGAAUGGCUUUAGGAUCCUGAAGCAAGUGAAAGGAAUCCCCAUGAGGGCUAAGCAUCAGGAACACUCAUGUUUAAGCUGAAUGGAAAUCAGCAGAAGACUUUGGCUUGAGUACAUCUCAGGUUGAAAAAAUACACCUGAAUAGAAGACCAGUGUUACAGAGGAAAAGGAUAUUUCAGAUCAGAAUGAAGGAAAAAUAAAAAGAAACAACCUGAAGAAACUUCA